AAUUAAAUCUGGGGGGUUACUCUGUAAUGCGAUACGAAUAUGAAAAUGUUCGCAUCUUCAAUUUUGGUACUCUGUAAUUCGACAAUCGCAGUAAAUUUUGAAAUUUUCGAAUUUAGUUUUUCCCUUUCGCAUUAGCGGUACUCUGCUUUGCUAAAGCAAUUGUCAAACAUGCGUUAUAUUCGUAAUUUUUGUGCUACAAGUAUAAAGAAGUCGCAUUGCUUGAAAAUGGAAGCACCGAAAAUAAAACAACAAACUCAACCAAAGCAAUUUGAAAUUCUCGUGGAUUUCAUGAAGGCGCAUCCCGAUUUAUCGAAAGGAUCACUAAAAACACCAGACG